rnacentral:rRNA from 1 species
AGAGUUUGAUCCUGGCUCAGGAUGAACGCUGGCGGCGUGCUUAAUACAUGCAAGUCGAACGAAGCACUUAAGACGGACUUCUUCGGAACGAAGACUUUUGUGACUGAGUGGCGGACGGGUGAGUAACGCGUGGGUAACCUGCCUUGUACAGGGGGAUAACAGUUGGAAACGACUGCUAAUACCGCAUAAGCGCACAGUACCGCAUGGUACGGUGUGAAAAACUCCGGUGGUACAAGAUGGACCCGCGUCUGAUUAGCUAGUUGGAGGGGUAACGGCCCACCAAGGCAACGAUCAGUAGCCGACUUGAGAGAGUGAUCGGCCACAUUGGGACUGAGACACGGCCCAAACUCCUACGGGAGGCAGCAGUAGGGAAUAUUGCACAAUGGGGGAAACCCUGAUGCAGCGACGCCGCGUGAAGGAUGAAGUAUUUCGGUAUGUAAACUUCUAUCAGCAAGGAAGAUAAUGACGGUACUUGACUAAGAAGCCCCGGCUAAAUACGUGCCAGCAGCCGCGGUAAUACGUAUGGGGCAAGCGUUAUCCGGAUUUACUGGGUGUAAAGGGAGCGUAGGCGGCAUGGCAAGUCAGAAGUGAAAGCCUGGGGCUCAACCCCGGAAUUGCUUUUGAAACUGUCAGGCUAGAGUGUCGGAGGGGUAAGCGGAAUUCCUAGUGUAGCGGUGAAAUGCGUAGAUAUUAGGAGGAACACCGGUGGCGAAGGCGGCUUACUGGACGAUUACUGACGCUGAGGCUCGAAAGCGUGGGGAGCAAACAGGAUUAGAUACCCUGGUAGUCCACGCCGUAAACGAUGACUACUAAGUUGUCGGGGGGACAAUAGUUCUUCGGUGCCCAAACAAACCCAUUA